GGCACAUUUCGCUAUUUUGGCCCAUUUUGCUGAAUCAUAAUAAAUACUUAUACCAUAACUGAACUUUGUCAAUGUUUUUAUAUAUUUAAAGAGCUACAAAAUAUAUCUUUGACAUUCCGAGCUUAAAAAUGGUUUAUUGUGUAAUAAAAAAAAAAUGAUAAUCGUCGUUUUUUCUCAUUUUAAUCUAGGGCUCGCUCGUGUUUCUUCGGUAAAACACGUUUUAGCUUUUUAUUCUUUUAUUUAGCUAUCCAGCUGUGGUCUAAUCGUCGUUAGGUUAGGUCUACUACUUCUACUUGCCAGAUCAAGAAUUUCAAUAGUUUAAAAACUUCUCUGGAGAAUACAGAUAAUUUUGCGAAAAAUCGCAUACAAAUUUAUCUAGUAUAGUUUCAGAGAACACGCGUAACAAAG